rnacentral:sRNA from 1 species
UAACACAAGUAACACAAUCGCUUAGAAA